UUUGGAAGCAGCCGCCUGAGGAAGGAGCAGGGCGGGGUAAUGGGAGAACUGAGCGAGGAGCAGCUGCGGGAGGCCCCCGCGGACUCCUGAGAAGCAGCUUAGGGGAGCGGGGGCUUGGGGAGGUGUCGGGUGGAAUCACGAGAAAGCUCUGUGGGAGGGCCUGGUGCACAGCUCAGCUGCAGCGUGGAGCUCAUGGAAAGCCGGACGUUCCUGGAGGAGGAGCAGGGCGGGGUUGUGGCAAAGCGCUGUGGGAGCAGAUGGGGCGGGGCUGUGGGAAAGAGCUGGAGAAGGGGAGCCAGGCUGGAGUGAGGCUGGCGUGCAAGACUCCAAACUUGCCCGCAGCGACCUAACUGCACCUCCAGUGGCUACCCCCAGAGGGCACGGAAGCAGCAAGAACGGCGGGAACACUUGCCUGGCGUCCAUGCAGCUCUAGGCUGAGUCUUGUAGGGCUAAGGCCCCCAGGCCUGCUCUCCUGUGUCCUAGCCGCUCUGU
rnacentral:antisense_RNA from 1 species